rnacentral:rRNA from 1 species
UACGCAGGGGGCUAGCGUUGUUCGGAAUUACUGGGCGUAAAGCGUGCGCAGGCGGCUUCUCAAGUCAGGGGUGAAAGCCCAGAGCUCAACUCUGGAAUUGCCUUUGAGACUGAGUGGCUUGAGUACGAGAGAGGUGAGUGGAAUUCCCAGUGUAGAGGUGAAAUUCGUAGAUAUUGGGAAGAACACCGGUGGCGAAGGCGGCUCACUGGCUCGUAACUGACGCUCAUGCACGAAAGCGUGGGGAGCGAACAGG